rnacentral:rRNA from 1 species
GCAUGAGUGAAGAAGGCCUUUGGGUUGUAAAGCUCUUUUAGUGAGGAAGAUAAUGACGGUACUCACAGAAGAAGUCCUGGCUAACUCCGUGCCAGCAGCCGCGGUAAUACGGAGAGGGCUAGCGUUAUUCGGAAUUAUUGGGCGUAAAGGGCGCGUAGGCGGAUUAGUAAGUUAAAAGUGAAAUCCCAAGGCUCAACCUUGGAAUUGCUUUUAAAACUGCUAGUCUAGAGAUUGAAAGAGGAUAGAGGAAUUCCUAGUGUAGAGGUGAAAUUCGUAAAUAUUAGGAGGAACACCAGUGGCGAAGGCGUCUAUCU